CUGCUGCCUUCCGUAGGAGUUUGGGCCGUGUCUCAGUCCCAAUGUGGCCGUCCACCCUCUCAGGCCGGCUACUGAUCGUCGCCUUGGUGGGCCGUUACCCCGCCAACAAGCUAAUCAGACGCGGGUCCAUCUUACACCACCGGAGUUUUUCACACAAAUCCAUGCGGCUUCGUGCGCUUAUGCGGUAUUAGCACCUAUUUCUAAGUGUUAUCCCCCAGUGUAAGGCAGGUUACCCACGCGUUACUCACCCGUCCGCCACCAAG
rnacentral:rRNA from 1 species